UCUGGAGUCAGCCAAUAGGAGCGCGCGUUGCGUUUCGGGGGAGGGAUUGUGCAGAGGCAGCGGUGCUGAGGUGUUUGUCGGAGGAAUAUGGCCGCUGCAGAGAUGUUGGUGUGUCGGGGUGAGAGGUGGCGGCGGGGAUUGUUUGCCCUGGUGUUUCUUUGUUACGUGCAUUUUUCAAGAGCAGCCGACGUGUCUCCCCCAGAGGAGUUGUUUGUCGAAAAUGGAACGCAGGCGCGACUUCCCUGCAACUUCAAGUCAAUGGAGUCCAGCAGCAUCCAACAGUCUGUCACAUGGAGAUUCAAACCGGACUCUGGGAGCGAUCCUGUGACGAUUUUUUAUUACUCCAGCGGAACCUCUUACCCGCCGAAUGCUGGUCAGUUUAAGGACAGAAUAAGCUGGGCUAGCGAUCUCACUAGGAAGGAUGCUUCUAUCAAGGUGAACAACAUGCAGUUUAAAGACAACGGCACCUACACGUGCUCAGUGGUGACACUGCCAGACCUUGGGAGCAUGACCAAGGAAAUUCGGCUAAAAGUGGUGGAGAAAGAAAACCUGCCCUUGUCGAAUGGCCCGUUACUGAUUGGAAUUAUAUGCGCAGUAAUAAGUGCCCUCCUUAUAAUUGCCAGUAUCAUCUUUGCGAUUUGCAUCUACAAGAAGAAAAAAUCCAGAAAAAACUACACCGGUAAGGCAUUUUGGCAUAACAAGGAUAAGUCCACUCUGAGGUAUUCGAUGGAAUAUCACUAUAAAAGGGAUAUUCUGCAGCACAACUGACAGUUUGAUGGCUCAGAUUCCUGUUAAACAGCCGCCACGAAAGUCUCCCUCUGACACAGAGGUUUUGGUAACCCAUAUUCCCUCUGGAGCUAUUCAGGGGCCAGUAAUCUAUGCCCAGCUGGAUCACUCCGGAAAGACCAGCAACCAGAUCUACAAGUCUGAAAGGGUCGUGUACUCCGACAUUCGAAAAAUAUGCUGAGUUUCCUGCCUCUCCUGUCUUUCCAAGCACCGACCUUCAUUUUGGAACUGGAAUUGCUUAUCGGAUGCAGCGUGUGGCCUUGUAACCCAGGACCAAUGCAUGCGAAAAUGACCCAGGAGUGUAUUUCAGGGGAAAUAAGAGCUGAAGCCAAUGAUUCCAAUGCCUUUGCUUGAAAACACACUUCUCUUGUCUCCAGCAGUGGGACAGAGCUCCAGUCUCUCACAUGCUGCUUCCCCUCCUCUCCACUGGGGGGCAGUGUAAAAGAGUUCUGUACUUGCUGUGGCUGAAGAAACCGGCCCUACGUUUCAUUUUGGCUUUGCACUUUAUAUUGUGGUAGUCGUAUGGUUCUUCUGAAUUUGACCCGCCAUCGUCUGUCGAUCUCAGGUAUGAGGAAGCGUUGGCACUUUGUAUCAUUGGCAUCUCAUCAUCGCUAAGGGCAAAUUGAAGUGAGCAGAAGGCAGUCCCCUCUAUUAACACUCCUGAUGUCUUCUCCUCUCUGAAUAUUGGAGAAAGGGGUCUUCACCUCUCUGCAUAUUGGAGAAAGGAGUCUUCUCCUCUCUGAAUAUUGGAGAAAGGGGUCUUCACCUCUCUGCAUAUUGGAGAAAGGAGUCUUCUCUCUGAAUAUUGGAGAAAGGGGUCUUCACCUCUCUGCAUAUUGGAGAAAGGAGUCUUCUCCUCUCUGAAUAUUGGAGAAAGGGGUCUUCUCCUCUCUGCAUAUUGGAGAAAGGAGUCUUCUCCUCUCUGAAUAUUGGAGAAAGGGGUCUUCUCCUCUCUGCAUAUUGGAGAAAGGGGUCUUCUCCUCUCUGCAUAUUGGAGAAAGGGGUCUUCUCCUCUCUGCAUAUUGGAGAAAGGGCUCUUCUCCUCUCUGCAUAUUGGAGAAAGGGCUCUUCUCCAUGGCCUAUCCAUUUCCUAGAGACUAUGGCCUAACAACAAAAGCCUUCCAUUAGCAGAUCCCUGCGUUCAGGAGAUGUAGCCAAACAGCCACUUUAACCUGCUCCAAUAAUUAUAUAUCUAUUGUAUCCCUGCAGUGCAACAUAUUGUACAUGGAAAAGCUUAAAACAAUUGGAAGAGUCCCUUAGAAAACUCGCUUUCUCCCCAGCAGAGUGAUAUAACCAUGUUUUAUUGCUACAUUUAACCAUAACCACCUUGUAAAUAUUAUAUUUAAACCAACUCAGAGACCAA